rnacentral:misc_RNA from 2 species
AACGCACCUUGCGCUCCUUGGUAUUCCGAGGAGCAUGCCUGUUUGAGUGUCAUUAAAUUCUCAAACCUCUCUCUCUAUUUAUAGGGAGAGAGUCCUUUGGACUUGGAGUGUUGCUGGCUUCAUUUGUCAGCUCCUCUCAAAUGCAUUAGCUUGUUACCCUUGUGGAUAGGCUUUGGUUUGAUAAUGUCUAUGUCAUUGCCAUGAAACAAAUGUCAGCUUCUAAUAAAUCAUUCAUAAAAUUUGACCUCAAAUCAGGUAGGACUACCCGCUGAACUUAA